CUGUGCUCCGACUGAACGAGCAUAACUCCUGGAAUCAUUUGGAAGACGAGGUUACUCCCCCUGGGCAGUAACUGGAGUUCUUCAAGUGUCCUAGGGGUGCUCCACUUCAGGUGACUCCCGACCCGCAUCUCCAUAUGGAGGAGGGAGCUUUGGAGUCAAGGCCAGCACAGGCGAAAGAACUGCACGGCCAUAUCAGACCUAGAGGCAUCGUCUAAGGCAUAGGGCUGGAGAAGAACAGAUCAACUCUAAUCCCGUGAACCAGCGAGGAGCCAUUCAACUGAAGACCCAAGAACAGGAACAGAGAAAGCGCGUUUCAUGUGGUGCACAGCACUUCUUGUUAGGACCAGUCCUUGAGCAGCCAAUCGUUAAGGCAUGGGAAUACGACGAUCGCCUGAUGCUGCAGGUAGGCAGCCACCACCAAUAGCACCUGUGAAAACAUUCUCGGAGCUGGGGAGAGACCAAACAGGAGUACCUGGCACUGCAAACGAUCCUGGCCUAUGACGAAACACAGAAACCUGCUGCGGGUCGAGGGCCAAUCCCCUGAAUCUAGAGAAGGAAUUACAGCUGCCAGAGGCAUCAUCCUGAACUUUUGAGGCCUCAAAAAUUUGUUUAGGAGUCUUAGAUCUAAGACUGGUUUCCACCCUCCCUUUUCUUUCUAUUUUUUUGGGCGGGGGAGGACGAAGAAGUACCUUGAGUAGAAACCCCUUCCUCGGUGCUGGGCAGGGACCGCUCUUUUGUUCUUCAACGAAGACAGGGGUCUAUCUCCUGUCUUAGCCGCAAGUCGUGAGAAGGGUCCCUGAAGAGGGACAGGGAAGGGGAAUGAGGAGCGGGGAGGGAGAUAAAAUGGAUGGCGUAGCCAUCUCCACACCAGUUUGUCCGAGACGAUAUGCUCCUGUGCUUUGUCGGAAAUGGGAGAGUCGGGUCCCAGGUGGGCAAAUCAUUGUAGCUGCCAAGCUAACAAGGGGGAGGGUCUGAACCCUUGACCAUCCAAUCAAAAUUCAAAGAUGCGAACAUGCUAAGCUCUGGCUUGGGCUGAAGUGUUUAAGAAGGAACUGAGGGUGGUUCAUUCUGGUAUAGCCUUGGUGCGGGGCACGAGGAUGUUAGCAGCACAUGCGCGGGCCCAAACGGACUCUUCUAAUGGAAAUCUCCAAUCAAAGGCGCAUGCGCACCCGAAGUGGAGCCCCCCACAGGAGCACUACUCGAAGAAGAAUUUUCACUUUUCAUGGGUUUAAAACUCCCCCUUGGUAAACACGCGCUAAUAUCCACUUGAAAUUCGCAGUGUCUAAAAUGCUAACAGAAAACAAACACAAAAGGGGGUGAAUACAACCAAAGUCCAUUCUGUAAUGUUUAUGGCAUGCACACAAAGGAGAUAAAUAAAAACAUAAGAACCCUUGCUGGAAGAUUGCAGUGUCACACUGCUUUAUGCAUCCAAAGAAGUGAGGUUUUUA